GGGUUGUGAGGUUAAGCGACUAAGCGUACACGGUGGAUGCCCUGGCAGUCAGAGGCGAUGAAGGGCGUGCUAAUCUGCGAUAAGCGCCGGUAAGGUGAUAUGAACCGUUAUAACCGGCGAUACCCGAAUGGGGAAACCCAGUGUGACUCGUCACACUAUCAUUAACUGAAU
rnacentral:rRNA from 3 species